CAGCCGCCACGGGAAUACGUAGGUGGCAAGCGUUGUCCGGAAUUAUUGGGCGUAAAGGGCUCGCAGGCGGUUUCUUAAGUCUGAUGUGAAAGCCCCCGGCUCAACCGGGGAGGGUCAUUGGAAACUGGGAAACUUGAGUGCAGAAGAGGAGAGUGGAAUUCCACGUGUAGCGGUGAAAUGCGUGGAGAUGUGGAGGAACACCAGUGGCGAAGGCGACUCUCUGGUCUGUAACUGACGCUGAGGAGCGAAAGCGUGGGGAGCGAACAGGAUUAGAUACCCGCGUAGUCCCUGUCUCUUAUAA
rnacentral:rRNA from 1 species